rnacentral:rRNA from 1 species
UACGGACGGGGCAAGCGUUGUUCGGAAUCAUUGGGCGUAAAGGGCGCGUAGGUGGUUUUGUAUGUCUACCGUGAAAGCGUACGGCUCAACCGUAUUUUGUCGGUGGAAACUGCAGGACUUGAGGCUGGGAGGGGCUGGUGGAAUUCCCUGUGUAGCGGUGAAAUGCGUAGAGAUGGGGGAGAACACUCGUGGCGAAGGCGGCCAGCUAGACCAGUUCUGACACUGAGGCGCGACAGCGUGGGGAGCAAACAGG